CAACACCCAGCCAAUCACAAGACGCCACGUCAUAGAGAAAUACCAGCAUCAGGGAGGCUGGCGACUAUGGAGGCGAACGCUAACCCAAAGGGUGUACAAAUUCCAGAAAUUGUAAGGAAGGACAGCGGGUUUCCUCUUCACGAGUCAAACGUCACAGUACCAAACUCUAAUUUGCAACUGACUGAUGAACAAAUGACAGCCUAAAGAAAUGCAGUAAACCCAAAAGCCACAUCACAUCUUCUGAAUGUGACAUUUAUAUUGCUGCAGUUCAGUUUUGUGAGCAGUUUUUUACUAUGUGAAAGUUGUCUUCAAAAUAAGACUUCCGCUUUUCAAAAUGAAUCAUGCUUUGAAUUUAAUUAUUUUUCACGUUACCUUUUUGUAAUUAUGUUCAAUCAAGUUAAAUUCUGUGUAUAAUAAUUGUAUAAAUCGUGCUUAACAUCUGACUGUAUAUAGAUAACUAAUCAUAAUCAGGAUUUUGUCUGUGAUUAAAUUCAAAGCAUGACUUAUUUUGAAGAGCGGAAAUCUUCACAUUUAUAAAAUGUAAAGGAAAAUGCUGAUUAUGUUACCAUAAAUGUAAAUUUUAGUGCUUUUAUGGAAGUUGUUACAGAACUAAAGUGUUUGAUUUGAUUGUUUUUUUUCUUACCUCAAAAGGAAGCUAAUAGGUACAUUUGUCCAUUGUUGUAGUACUUUAAAUUUCUGGCAUCAUAAGAAUCAGAAAGUUAGUUUGUCUUAGGUAAUUUAUUUUGUAAUACUUCAAGCAUAGAUGAACUCAUGUAAGUACAUUCAAUAAAAUUUUGCAUAAAAACAA